CCUACGGGAGGCAGCAGUGGGGAAUUUUGGACAAUGGGCGCAAGCCUGAUCCAGCAAUGCCGCGUGAGUGAAGAAGGCCUUCGGGUUGUAAAGCUCUUUUGUCAGGGAAGAAACGGUGUGGGCUAAUAUCCCGCACUAAUGACGGUACCUGAAGAAUAAGCACCGGCUAACUACGUGCCAGCAGCCGCGGUAAUACGUAGGGUGCAAGCGUUAAUCGGAAUUACUGGGCGUAAAGCGUGCGCAGGCGGUUUUGUAAGUUUGUCGUGAAAUCCCCGGGCUCAACCUGGGAAUGGCGAUGAAGACUGCAAGGCUAGAAUCUGGCAGAGGGGGGUAGAAUUCCACGUGUAGCAGUGAAAUGCGUAGAGAUGUGGAGGAACACCGAUGGCGAAGGCAGCCCCCUGGGUCAAGAUUGACGCUCAUGCACGAAAGCGUGGGGAGCAAACAGGAUUAGAUACCCUGGUAGUCCACGCCCUAAACGAUGUCUACUAGUUGUCGGGUUUUAAUUAACUUGGUAACGCAGCUAACGCGUGAAGUAGACCGCCUGGGGAGUACGGUCGCAAGAUUAAAACGUCAAAAUGAAAUUGAGGCUGAGAGNGACGAGACGACGACGAGGGAGAGG
rnacentral:rRNA from 1 species